AGAAAAGAAACCAACAGGGAUUGCCCCAGUAACGGCGAGUGAAGCGGCAACAGCUCAAAUUUGAAAUCUGGCCCCCAGGGCCCGAGUUGUAAUUUGCAGAGGAUGCUUUUGGCGCGGUGCCUUCCGAGUUCCCUGGAACGGGACGCCAUAGAGGGUGAGAGCCCCGUCUGGUCGGACGCCUAGCCUGUGUAAAGCUCCUUCGACGAGUCGAGUAGUUUGGGAAUGCUGCUCUAAAUGGGAGGUAUAUGUCUUCUAAAGCUAAAUACCGGCCAGAGACCGAUAGCGCACAAGUAGAGUGAUCGAAAGAUGAAAAGCACUUUGAAAAGAGGGUUAAAUAGUACGUGAAAUUGUUGAAAGGGAAGCGCUUGUGACCAGACUUGGGCCCGGUGGAUCAUCCAGCGUUCUCGCUGGUGCACUCCGCCGGGUUCAGGCCAGCAUCAGUUCGCCGCGGGGGAAAAAGGCUUCGGGAACGUGGCUCCUACGGGAGUGUUAUAGCCCGUUGCAUAAUACCCUGGGGCGGACUGAGGUUCGCGCUCCGCAAGGAUGCUGGCGUAAUGGUCAUCAGGC
rnacentral:rRNA from 1 species